GAUGAACGCUAGCGAUAGGCUUAACACAUGCAAGUCGAGGGGUAGCAGGAAGGUAGUUUACUACUUUUGCUGACGACCGGCGCACGGGUGAGUAACGCGUAUGCAAUUUACCUUAUACACGGGGAUAGCCCGGCGAAAGUCGGAUUAAUACCCGAUAUUAUUAAGAGUUCGCAUGGAUUUUUAAUGAAAGAUUUAUCGGUAUAAGAUAAGCAUGCGUUCCAUUAGCUUGUUGGUAAGGUAACGGCUUACCAAGGCAACGAUGGAUAGGGGGAACUGAGAGGUUUAUCCCCCACACUGGAACUGAGACACGGACCAGACUCCUACGGGGAGGCAGCAGGUNAGGAAUAUUGGGUCAAUGGACGAGAGUCUGAACCAGCCAAGUCGCGUGAAGGAAGACUGCCUUAUGGGUUGUAAACUUCUUUUAUAUAGGAAUAAAAAAUCUACGUGUAGAUUCUUGCAUGUACUAUAUGAAUAAGCAUCGGCUAACUCCGUGCCAGCCGCCGCAGUAAU
rnacentral:rRNA from 1 species